rnacentral:rRNA from 1 species
CGCGUAGGCGGUGCGGUAAGUCACCUGUGAAAUCUCCAGGCUUAACUUGGAGUCUGCAGGCGAAACUGCCGUGCUGGAGUAUGGGAGAGGUGCGUGGAAUUCCCGGUGUAGCGGUGAAAUGCGUAGAUAUCGGGAGGAAUACCUGUGGCGAAAGCGGCGCACUGGACCAUAACUGACGCUGAGGCGCGAAAGCUAGGGGAGCAAACAGGAUUAGAUACCCUGGUAGUCCUAGCCCUAAACGAUGAUUGCUUGGUGUAGCCGGUACCCAAUCCGGCUGUGCCGCAGCUAACGCGAUAAGCAAUCCGCCUGGGGAGUACGGUCGCAAGGCUGAA